GUGGCCCCGGCCUUUCAGAGGCACGGGGCUGCGAGGUGUGGGCUUGGGCUUGCGCCCUCCCUGGAAGUUGAGGCUGGGAUCCCGACUGCGGCCUUUGGCCGUGCCGCCCCGCUGCCUGGCUGCUGAGAGUUGUUCCUGCCGCUGGGGGGGAAACCGAGCUCUGUGGCUCCAGGGGUGUCGUCCACCCGCCUGUAAUCAGGGUCUGGGUGCGCGAGCGUUUGUGCUCUGCUGGCAGCCUGUGUGGGGUGACCGCCCCGUUAGCGGGGUGUGGGUCGAGGUGCCCCGGACUGGGAGAGAAGGAGCCUCUCCCGGCCGUAGGGAUGGGGGCUGCCCUGUAAGUCAGGGAGCAACCGUGCCCCGGAGUCCCAGGGGUGUCGUCCACCCGCCUGUAAUCAGGGUCUGGGUGCGCGAGCGUUUGUGCUCUGCUGGCAGCCUGUGUGGGGUGACCGCCCCGUUAGCGGGGUGUGGGUCGAGGUGCCCCGGACUGGGAGAGAAGGAGCCUCUCCCGGCCGUAGGGAUGGGGGCUGCCCUGUAAGUCAGGGAGCAACCGUGCCCCGGAGUCCCAGGCCCUUUGCGUUGGAGGCAGUGGCUGGGGGCCCCCUGUAAGCAGGGAAGCUGGCUCUUUGGCCGCUGCUUUUUGUACGCCCAGCCCCAUUUGCCCAGCCUGCCCGCCUCUGUGAUCCCCCGCAGCACCGGCUGGAAGUCUGCCGCGCGUCAGUGAGGAGCUGCUGCAGAAGAAAGAAGAAGCAGCGGCGUGGGGACCUGGGCGGCAGGAGCGAGCAAGAAGAGGAUGCGGAAGCGUGCAGAUGCGGGGGGGAAGGAGAGAGGCUCCCUGGGCAAAGCACCUGUCCCGUUAGCGGGGCCGCAGUCGCAUUUGAGUUGAGCGUUGCCGGCGCCUUUGGCGACCCGGCCGGCUUUGUGCUGGGCGACCUCCCUGUAAGCAGGGCUCGGGUCUUUGCUGUAGUUGGC
ensembl:lncRNA